rnacentral:rRNA from 1 species
GACGAACGCUGGCGGCGUGCUUAACACAUGCAAGUCGAACGGGCCCGCCCCUGUUUUUGGGGGUGGGUUGAGUGGCGAACGGGUGAGUAUCACGUGAGUAACCUGCCCCCUGCUCCUGGAUAACUGCUUGAAAGGGCGGCUAAUACGGGGUGUGCCGGCUGGUCCGCAUGGGCCUGGUCGGGAUAGUUUCAUCUUCGGGUGUUUCGGUGGGGGAUGGGCUCGCGGCCUAUCAGCUUGUUGGUGGGGUGAUGGCCCACCAAGGCGGUGACGGGUAGCCGGCCUGGGAGGGUGGGCGGCCACACUGGGACUGAGACACGGCCCAGACUCCUGCGGGAGGCAGCAGUGGGGGGUAUUGCACAAUGGGCGGAAGCCUGAUGCAGCGACGUCGCGUGAGGGAUGGAGGCCUUCGGGUUGUGAACCUCUUUCUCCGGUGGUGAAGGCCCUGUCCGGUGCGGCGGGGUUGACGGUAGCCGGGUAUGAAGCGCCGGCUAACUACGUG